UGCCAGCCGCCGCGGUAAUACGGGGGGAGCAAGCGUUGUUCGGAAUCACUGGGCGUAAAGGGCGCGUAGGCGGCUUUGGUAGUCGGAUGUGAAAGCCCGGGGCUCAACCCCGGAACGGCAUCCGAUACUCCAAGGCUCGAGUCCGGAAGAGGAGGGUGGAAUACCCAGUGUAGAGGUGAAAUUCGUAGAUAUUGGGUGGAACACCGGUGGCGAAAGCGGCUCUCUGGUCCGGUACUGACGCUGAGGUGCGAAAGCUAGGGGAGCGAACAGGAUUAGAUA
rnacentral:rRNA from 1 species